UAGGUCAGUGAAUAACCGAUGAUAGUUAUGUGGGUCAUCAUCGAGUCGACCUGUUAGCAGGAACAGCUGGUUAGCACAGCAGCUAAUUGGAUGAG